rnacentral:rRNA from 1 species
AUUGAACGCUGGCGGCAGGCCUAACACAUGCAAGUCGAACGCGUGGCGGACGGGUGAGUAAUGUCUGGGAAACUGCCUGAUGGCGGGGGAUAACUACUGGAACCGGUACCUAAUCCCGCAUACCAUUCGAUGUUCCCAGAUGGGAUUCGCUGGUUGGUGGGGUAACGGCUCACCACGGCGACGAUCCCUAGCGGGUCUGAGAGGAUGACCAGCCACACUGGAACGGAGACACGGUCCAGACUCCUACGGGAGGCAGCAGUGGGGAAUAUUGCACAAUGGGCGCAAGCCUGAUGCAGCCAGGCCGCGUGUAUGAAGAAGGCCUUCGGGUUGUAAAGUACUUUCAGCGGGGAGGCGUUACCCGCAGAAGAAGCACCGGCUAACUCCGUGCCAGCAGCCGCGGUAAUAC